rnacentral:tRNA from 2 species
GGGCGAUUAGCUCAGUUGGUCAGAGCGCCUGCUUUACACGCAGGAUGUCCGCGGUUCAAGUCCGCGAUUGCCCACCA